UUAAUGUCUCUUAUGUUUGUUCUCUAAUGCUUGUCAACUCCAGGGCUAUGCCUACAUUCUGACUCAUCCGGGGACUCCAGCAGUAUUUUACGAUCAUUUCUAUGACUGGGGAAAUUCACUUCAUGACCAAAUCGUUAGGCUGAUUGAUAUCCGGCGCAAUCAAGGCAUAAACAGCCGAUCGUCUAUAAGAAUUCUCGAGGCUCAGCCAAAUGUAUAUGCAGCAAUAAUUGGAGAAAAGAUUUGCAUGAAGAUCGGUGAUGGGUCGUGGUGCCCGGCUGGGGCAGAGUGGAGACUUGCAACUAGCGGCCACCGCUAUGCAAUCUGGCAGAAGUAACAAUCUCUUGGUGGUAAUGAGCAUCCAUCUUGUGAAAGAUUGAGGGAAUUUGUCAUUAGGUAUAACUAUUAGUUAGAGAUCCAGGAGUUUACUUAUAAGAUUUCUUGAAUAAGACUUUCAAUUUCAGUUGUAACAGUGGCUGUAAUAUUUUGUUAUAAUUCUCUUGAGUAAGACAAUAAAAUGGCCAUUUGAGAGUUAGUUGAAUAUUCAGUUAUUGGAAUGGAUCUUGAGUUUGCAA